rnacentral:rRNA from 1 species
GACGAACGCUGGCGGCGUGCUUAACACAUGCAAGUCGAACGAAGAGCGAUGGAAGCUUGCUUCUAUCAAUCUUAGUGGCGAACGGGUGAGUAACGCGUAAUCAACCUGCCCUUCAGAGGGGGACAACAGUUGGAAACGACUGCUAAUACCGCAUACGAUCUAACCUCGGCAUCGAGGAUAGAUGAAAGGUGGCCUCUACAUGUAAGCUAUCACUGAAGGAGGGGAUUGCGUCUGAUUAGCUAGUUGGAGGGGUAACGGCCCACCAAGGCGAUGAUCAGUAGCCGGUCUGAGAGGAUGAACGGCCACAUUGGGACUGAGACACGGCCCAGACUCCUACGGGAGGCAGCAGUGGGGAAUCUUCCGCAAUGGACGAAAGUCUGACGGAGCAACGCCGCGUGAGUGAUGACGGCCUUCGGGUUGUAAAGCUCUGUUAAUCGGGACGAAAGGCCUUCUUGC